UACGUAGGGUGCAAGCGUUAAUCGGAAUUACUGGGCGUAAAGCGUGCGCAGGCGGCUAUGCAAGACAGAUGUGAAAUCCCCGGGCUCAACCUGGGAACUGCAUUUGUGACUGCAUGGCUAGAGUACGGUAGAGGGGGAUGGAAUUCCGCGUGUAGCAGUGAAAUGCGUAGAUAUGCGGAGGAACCCCGAUGGCGAAGGCAAUCCCCUGGACCUGUACUGACGCUCAUGCACGAAAGCGUGGGGAGCAAACAGG
rnacentral:rRNA from 1 species